rnacentral:snRNA from 1 species
CAUCUUGUUUCUCUUCAGAUCGUUAAAUCUUUCGCUUUUAUAAAGAUUUCCGUGGGAAGGAACAGCAAUUAGAUUUAAGCAAUUUUUUGAUGCCCCUUAGCUUAACCUGUGGGGCU